CGGUGAAAUGCUUAGAUAUGACGAAGAACUCCGAUUGCGAAGGCAGCCUGCUGUAGCGCAACUGACGCUGAAGCUCGAAAGCGUGGGUAUCGAACAGGAUUAGAUACCCUGGUAGUCCACGCGGUAAACGAUGGAUGCUCGCUGUUUGCGUCUGACGUAAGCGGCCAAGCGAAAGCGUUAAGCAUCCCACCUGGGGAGUACGCCGGCAACGGUGAAACUCAAAGGAAUUGACGGGGGCCCGCACAAGCGGAGGAACAUGUGGUUUAAUUCGAUGAUACGCGAGGAACCUUACCCGGGCUUGAACUGCAGGCGAACGAUACAGAGAUGUUGAGGCCCUUCGGGGCGCCUGUGGAGGUGCUGCAUGGUUGUCGUCAGCUCGUGCCGUGAGGUGUCGGCUUAAGUGCCAUAACGAGCGCAACCCUUGUUCGUAGUUGCCAUCGGGUAAUGCCGGGCACUCUGCGAAGACUGCCUCCGUAAGGAGUGAGGAAGGUGGGGAUGACGUCAAAUCAGCACGGCCCUUACGUCCGGGGCUACACACGUGUUACAAUGGCAUGUACAGAAAGCGGGGUGUAUGCAAAUACGCUCGAAUCCCUAAAACAUGUCUCAGUUCGGACUGGGGUCUGCAACCCGACCCCACGAAGCUGGAUUCGCUAGUAAUCGCGCAUCAGCCAUGGCGCGGUGAAUACGUUCCCGGGCCUUGUACACACCGCCCGUCAAGCCAUGAAAGCCGGGGGCGCCUAAAGUCCGUGACCGCGAGGGUCGGCCUAGGGUGAAACCGGUGAUUGGGGCUAAGUCGUAACAAGGUAGCCGUACCGGAAGGUGCGGCUG
rnacentral:rRNA from 1 species